CUUUCUUUUCCUCGUUGGAUUCUGAAGUUUGUUUUCCUUUUGAGUGAGUCAAACAUCUUGUAGACAACAGAACUAUGAAUGAUGUCGGGGAAGAGAUUAUGUUGUCGAUGCAAAGAAGCUCAUAGUUUGCUGAUGUGGCCCGAGAUUGUCUCACUUAGAUUAAGUUUAUGGCUGUUUUGGGAAGAUGGUGAUGUCUGGGUCGAGCUGUUUAUGUGUAGUUUACAUGCAAGUGAGAUGUGUUUAUUGACCUAGGAUGCAAGUGAGAUGUGUUAUUUGACCUUGGAUGAAG
rnacentral:lncRNA from 1 species